rnacentral:rRNA from 1 species
UAAAGGAAGCGAUUCCGGCUACGGAUGGUCAUGCGUCGCAUUAGCUAGUUGGCGGGGUAACGGCCCACCAAGGCGACGAUGCGUAGGGGUUCUGAGAGGAAGGUCCCCCACACUGGUACUGAGACACGGACCAGACUCCUACGGGAGGCAGCAGUGAGGAAUAUUGGUCAAUGGCCGCAGGGCUGAACCAGCCAAGUCGCGUGAGGGAUGACGGUCCUAUGGAUUGUAAACCUCUUUUGUCAGGGAGCAAAGGACGCCACGUGUGGCGUUUUGCGAGUACCUGAAGAAAAAGCAUCGGCUAACUCCGUGCCAGCAGCCGCGGUAAUACGGAGGAUGCGAGCGUUAUCCGGAUUUAUUGGGUUUAAAGGGUGCGCAGGCGGAAUGUCAAGUCAGCGGUAAAAUUUCGGGGCUCAACCCCGUCGUGCCGUUGAAACUGGCGUUCUUGAGUGAGCGAGAAGUAUGCGGAAUGCGUGGUGUAGCGGUGAAAUGCAUAGAUAUCACGCAGAACUCCGAUUGCGAAGGCAGCAUACCGGCGCUCAACUGACGCUCAUGCACGAAAGCGUGGGUAUCGAACAGGAUUAGAUACCCUGGUAGUCCACGCAGU